rnacentral:rRNA from 1 species
UACGUAGGGGGCAAGCGUUGUCCGGAUUUAUUGGGCGUAAAGAGCGUGUAGGCGGCCAGACAGGUCAGCUGUGAAACUCGAGGCUCAACCUCGAGACGUCGGUUGAAACCGUCUGGCUAGAGUCCGGAAGAGGAGAGUGGAAUUCCCGGUCGUAGCGGUGAAAUGCGCAGAUAUCGGGAGGAACACCAAUGGCGAAGGCAGCUCGCUGGGACGGUACUGACGCUGAGGCGCGAAAGCUAGGGGAGCAACAGG